rnacentral:rRNA from 1 species
UUGCUCUUCAAACGAGGAAUGCCUAGUAAGCGCAUGUCAUCAGCAUGCGUUGAUUACGUCCCUGCCCUUUGUACACACCGCCCGUCGCUACUACCGAUUGAAUGGCUCAGUGAGGCCUUCGGACUGGCUCAGGGAGGUCGGCAACGACCACCCAGAGCCGGAAAGUUGGUCAAACUUGGUCAUUUAGAGGAAGUAAAAGUCGUAACAAGGUUUCCGUAGGUGAACCUGCGGAAGGAUCAUUAAUGAGAACACCGGUGUAAAAGCCGGGCUCUUAAACCCUUGUGUAAACAAAACCCAGUUGCCCCGGGGGCGACCCCGCCGCUCCUUUACCGGCAGCAGGCGAGGGGCCCCCGGCGGUCCACUAAACACUGCAUCAAUGCGUCUGAGUAAGAUUAUUAAAUCAAUCAAAACUUUCAACAACGGAUCUCUUGGUUCUGGCAUCGAUGAAGAACGCAGCAAAAUGCGAUAAGUAAUGUGAAUUGCAGAAUUCAGUGAAUCAUCGAAUCUUUGAACGCACAUUGCGCCCCCUGGCAUUCCGGGGGGCACGCCUGUUCGAGCGUCAUUACACCACUCAAGCCUCGCUUGGUAUUGGGAGACGCGGUUAGCCGCGCUCCUCGAUUCUCUUCGGCUGGGCCCAACGAACCCCUAGCGUAGUAACAUAACAGUUUCGCUGCGGGAGAGGGGGGCAUCCGGCCGUUAAAGACCACCAUCAAAGGUUGACCUCGGAUCAGGCGGGGAUACCCGCUGAACUUAAGCAUAUCAAUAAGCGGAGGA